AGCGAACGCUGGCGGCAGGCUUAACACAUGCAAGUCGAACGCCCCGCAAGGGGAGUGGCAGAAGGGUGAGUAACACGUGGGAACGUACCCUUUGGUUCGGAAUAACUUGGGGAAACUCAAGCUAAUACCGGAUAAGCCCUUAUGGGGAAAGGUUUACUGCCGAAGGAUCGGCCAGCGUCUGAUUAGCUAGUUGGUGAGGUAAUGGCUCACCAAGGCGACGAUCAGUAGCUGGUCUGAGAGAAUGAUCAGCCACACUGGGACUGAGACACGGCACAGACUCCUACGGGAGGCAGCAGUGGGGAAUAUUGGACAAUGGGGGCAACCCUGAUCCAGCCAUGCCGCGUGAGUGAUGAAGGCCUUAGGGUUGUAAAGCUCUUUUACCCGGGACGAUAAUGACUGUACCGGGAGAAUAAGCCCCGGCUAACUUUGUGCCAGCAGCCGCAGUAA
rnacentral:rRNA from 1 species